GAACGCAUAUUGCGCUCUUUGGUAUUCCGAAGAGCAUGCUUGUUUGAGUAUCAGUAAACACCUCAAAACUCUUGAUCUUUUUCAAGCGUUUUGGACUUGAGCAAACCCAACGCCUUUUCUUUUAAGAUCUGUUGCGGCGGGUUGUUUUAAAUGCAGGUGCAGCGUGGCAAUCUCCUGAGCUAAAAGCAUAUUUAUUUAGUCCCGUCAAACGGAUUAUUACUUUUUGCUGCAGCUAACAUAAAGGGAGUUUUGACCAUUAUGGCUGACUGAUGCAGGAUUUCACAGAGAAAAGGCCGGCAACGGUUUUGUCUCUGUCAAACUCGAUCUCAAAUCAAGUAAGACUACCCGCUGAACUUAAG
rnacentral:misc_RNA from 1 species